ACAAUGAAGAGUUUGAUCCUGGCUCAGGAUGAACGCUAGCUACAGGCUUAACACAUGCAAGUCGAGGGGCAUCAGGAAGAAAGCUUGCUUUCUUUGCUGGCGACCGGCGCACGGGUGAGUAACACGUAUCCAACCUGCCCUUUACUCGGGGAUAGCCUUUCGAAAGAAAGAUUAAUACCCGAUAGUAUAAUCAUUCCGCAUGGUCUGAUUAUUAAAGGAUUCCGGUAAAGGAUGGGGAUGCGUUCCAUUAGGUUGUUGGUGAGGUAACGGCUCACCAAGCCUUCGAUGGAUAGGGGUUCUGAGAGGAAGGUCCCCCACAUUGGAACUGAGACACGGUCCAAACUCCUACGGGAGGCAGCAGUGAGGAAUAUUGGUCAAUGGGCGCGAGCCUGAACCAGCCAAGUAGCGUGAAGGAUGACUGCCCUAUGGGUUGUAAACUUCUUUUAUAUUAGAAUAAAGUGCAGUAUGUAUACUGUUUUGUAUGUAUAAUAUGAAUAAGGAUCGGCUAACUCCGUGCCAGCAGCCGCGGUAAUACGGAGGAUCCGAGCGUUAUCCGGAUUUAUUGGGUUUAAAGGGAGCGUAGGUGGACUGGUAAGUCAGUUGUGAAAGUUUGCGGCUCAACCGUAAAAUUGCAGUUGAUACUGUCAGUCUUGAGUACAGUAGAGGUGGGCGGAAUUCGUGGUGUAGCGGUGAAAUGCUUAGAUAUCACGAAGAACUCCGAUUGCGAAGGCAGCUCACUGGACUGCAACUGACACUGAUGCUCGAAAGUGUGGGUAUCAAACAGGAUUAGAUACCCUGGUAGUCCACACAGUAAACGAUGAAUACUCGCUGUUUGCGAUAUACAGUAAGCGGCCAAGCGAAAGCAUUAAGUAUUCCACCUGGGGAGUACGCCGGCAACGGUGAAACUCAAAGGAAUUGACGGGGGCCCGCACAAGCGGAGGAACAUGUGGUUUAAUUCGAUGAUACGCGAGGAACCUUACCCGGGCUUAAAUUGCAGUGGAAUGAUGUGGAAACAUGUCAGUGAGCAAUCACC
rnacentral:rRNA from 1 species